rfam:Ornithorhynchus anatinus chromosome X1, whole genome shotgun sequence.
AGGAGUGUGGCUUAGUGGAUAGAGCCCGGGCCUGGGAGUCAGAGGGACCUGGGUUCUAAUCCCAGCUCUGCCA